rnacentral:rRNA from 1 species
GACGAACGCUGGCGGCGUGCUUAACACAUGCAAGUCGAACGGAAAGGCCCUGCUUGCAGGGUCCUCGAGUGGCGAACGGGUGAGUAACACGUGGGUGAUCUGCCCUGCACUUCGGGAUAAGCCUGGGAAACUGGGUCUAAUACCGGAUAGGAGCCAUUUUUAGUGUGAUGGUUGGAAAGUUUUUUCGGUGUAGGAUGAGCUCGCGGCCUAUCAGCUUGUUGGUGGGGUAAUGGCCUACCAAGGCGGCGACGGGUAGCCGGCCUGAGAGGGUGGACGGCCACAUUGAGACUGGGAUACGGCCCAGACUCCUACGGGAGGCAGCAGUGGGGAAGAUUGCACAAUGGGCGCAAGCCUGAUGCAGCGACGCCGCGUGGGGGAUGACGGCCUUCGGGUUGGAAACUCCUUUCGCUAGGGACGAAGCUUUUUGUGACGGUACCUAGAGAAGAAGCACCGGCUAACUACGUG